rnacentral:rRNA from 1 species
AGUCAAUAGAUACCCGGGUAGUCCACGCCGUAAACGAUGAGUACUAGGUGUAGGAGGUAUCGACUCCUUCUGUGCCGCAGUUAAACACAAUAAGUACUCCGCCUGGGAAGUACGGUCGCAAGAUUAAAACUCAAAGAAUUGACGGGGCCCGCACAAGCAGCGGAGCAUGUGGUUUAAUUCGAAGCAACGCGAAGAACCUUACCUAGACUUGACAUCUCCUGAAUAGUGUAGAGAUACAUGAAGCCCUUCGGGCGAGGAAGACAGGUGGCGCAUGGUUGUCGUCAGCUCGUGUCGUGAGAUGUUGGGUUAAGUCCCGCAACGAGCGCAACCCUUAUUACUAGUUGCUACCAUUAAGUUGAGCACUCUAGUGAGACUGCCCGGGUUAA